AAGGCAGGGGGCAAAAUACAUUAAUUAGGAAUUAAGUAAUGCAAUUACUAAAAUCACCACAAGAGGGUGAUAUCACUUUAUGUGCGUAGAACGCUCAGGCAGGAAGUGAUGUAAGAUAGAGACAGGAAGUUAUAAGGAAAAAACAGGAAGUUCCAGCGAAGGGGGAAGGAAGUAGGGGGGAGCCGUCACUGGACUACACAAAAGAGGUAAUAUGAUAUUUUGUAUUUACAACCAGUAACCCGCCCAGCAAGUCCGUCCUCGUCCUCCAUAGUCACUGUGACGUCUUUUAUCUCCAACAUCCACUACUACGUAUUUUGCCUGGAUUCUGCGGGAACUUCCCGCACAGACUGCAUCUUCCCGCAGUCCCAAGCAGGGGUUAAUUUUCCCGCACAGGAAGAAGAAGGUCAGAGGGGAGACAUGCUCUUACCGGAGCGCUGUGUGGUCUGCGGCAGCUAAAGAGAAGAGGAGAACCCGACAGGCUGUGUGCACAGAGAGAGGAGUGCCCCAUUUGGGUCACGUGACCAAACAAUUCAGCAUGGACAACGACCAAAGCCAAGUGACUGAGAGGAUAUUAGACCUCACCCUGGAAAUCAUCCACCUGCUGACUGGAGAGAGAUUUCCUCUUGUGAAGUCAGGUGAUCAUAUGACCAUCA